GGCAAAGAUACGGGUUCCGGUAGUGAUUUGUGUUCGCAGUUGAGACAACCUGUGUUCGUAUCUGUAUUUGACAGGUAUCCGUGGCUGACAUUAAAAUCAAAGGAAAAUAUGAUAUCAGUUAUAUUUGUCUAUAUCUGAUCUAAUUAUAUCCCUACUUUCAACUAUUCUCUUCUUACAACAAAUCUAUGAAAAAUGGAUCAUGGAAGUAAUAACUAUUUCAUCUGUGCAAUUUGGGUCCGGCUACUGUAGCAUUUUCGUUUAUAUUUGAUAAUUAUUGUCUAAUUGUAGACUAAUUAUGCAUUUAAUACU
rnacentral:lncRNA from 1 species